UACAGAGGUCUCGAGCGUUGUUCGGAUUUAUUGGGCGUAAAGGGUGCGUAGGCGGUAUGGCAAGUCAAGUGUGAAAUCUCGGAGCUCAACUUCGAAACUGCACUUGAUACUACUAUGCUAGAGGGUUGUAGAGGAGACUGGAAUUUACGGUGUAGCGGUGAAAUGCGUAGAUAUCGUAAGGAAGACCAGUGGCGAAGGCGGGUCUCUGGACAGUUCCUGACGCUGAGGCACGGAAGGUCAGGGGAGCAAACGGG
rnacentral:rRNA from 1 species